CUGCAUGAAGGAGAGGAGGACCCGGCUGGGGCUCCCAGUGCUGCCAGUGUGGCCAGGAAGUGGGCAGGGAACAGCUGAGUAAGGUGGACGGUGGGAGCCACUCAUUUGGCCACCAAGUUAAUGAAAACAAUAUUUUAAAAGCUAACUAGAGUUGAACACGGAUGGUAGUACACAUUUGUAAUCUCAGCACUGAGGAGGCUGAGGAAGGACUGCCGUUGGUUCAGUGCCAGUCUGGGCUAUGUAAUGAGACCCUGUCUCAUAAAUCCAAACCAAACCAAUCCAAAACAACAAACAAGAAGAAGAAGCAAGUUCUAAUGUGAGAUGCUGAGUUUGAAGAAUGCUGGCUCGUGUGUCCCUAAUUGUCUGUGGCUAACAGGGUAUGCGCUUCCAAUACCACCCCUUCCUACCAGUCCAAGAAGCUGUUUUAAUGUAAUGGGCCCCACCGUUAUGCUGGGCAUUCAGAGGGCUUGGUUUUCACUUGGCAGGAGAACCUUUGUAAAGAGCUCUCAACUUCAUAAUUAAAAACACUGGAGAAACCAAGAAGAAAGACCACACAUCAUCAACAUUCUGGAGAAAAUCCCAGUUAUUGUCAUAUCAAUAAUGCCACGUGUGGUGGGCUGAAUGUUGGCCCCUCAUUGUGGCAUGGCAGUACCCAGCAGCCAAGACCGCUGGUGUCCUCCCCGUCUGCCGAAGUCUGGGCAAUGCUCUGGUGCCCAACGCUCUUCAGGGUACUUAUAGAAGACUCACUUAAGACAAAGUGUGAUUAUAAAAAAAAUCAUCAUGAUCAUUCCUGGAGUCAUCACCUGGUUUUCUGCCUCUCUUCUCCUUCAUUACAUUUCUGAGGACAGUGGCCAUCAGUUGCACAGAUGUUUGGAGUGUGCUCACAGCUGCAUGAUGAAGAAAUCUCUCAGAAAUGAAGGGGUGAGAGAUAUGAGUGGUCUCACAGGGAUUGGAGGAAUGGAUUCAAAAUAAAAACCCAAAUUACUCCUACAAAUGGGAUGGAUGUAUUUGAAGGCCUCCAGUUGGACAUCUGCAUUUUCAACAGCCAGCACUUUCUGCACAGUUGAUAAUCAAUAAAUGGAUGAAGUUGAUUGAAUACACGGAUUUUCUUCAACUUUUCUUUUAAAAUCUCUGUGCAUGUACUCUAGUCCUUAAUCACUAAGGGGUCUGGGAGAAACUGGUUGCUAUGACCCUAAGUGGGGCUUUUUUCUCCAUAUACCGGGGAUUGAACCCACUGCCUUCCUCAUUCUAGGUAAGUGUUCUAUCACAGAGUUAAUCCUCAGCCCAGCAGGGUCUUUGUUUUG